GGGGCUGUAGCUCAGUCAGUAGAGUGCUUGCCUAACAUGUAUGAGGCACUGGGUUCAAUCCUCAGCACUCCA
rnacentral:tRNA from 1 species